rnacentral:rRNA from 1 species
AACUUUCAACAACGGAUCUCUUGGUUCUGGCAUCGAUGAAGAACGCAGCGAAAUGCGAUAAGUAGUGUGAAUUGCAGAAUUCAGUGAAUCAUCGAAUCUUUGAACGCACAUUGCGCCCUUUGGUAUUCCUUAGGGCAUGCCUGUUCGAGCGUCAUUUCAACCCUCAAGCCUAGCUUGGUGUUGGGCGUCUGUCCCGCCUCCGCGC